AUUAAAUAAUAAAGUAUUAUAUGGUCAAAUGCUCAAUUACCUGUUACAAAAAGGAAAGGAAGAAACAACCUCUAUUUACACUUAUUCUAUUUUGUCGACUCUACUUAGGAACAACGUAGCACGACUCAUUAGUUGGAAAGGUUCUGGAGAAGUCAAGCUCAGUUUUCAAAAAUCCAAAGUGAAAAAUCUAAUAGAAAGUGUUUCAAGAAGUUUCCUAAGGUGCAGGUUUCCGUAUUUGAAGACCAUAUAAAACGAUGGUUUAACACUUCUAUGCAGCGAUCAGACUAAUUGGAUCUUCUGAUGGGGAUUAAUUGUAUUCCGACUUUAACACAUAAAUUCUACUUUUUUUUAUUUGUCACUUUUUGUCUUAGUUUAA